CCUACGGGAGGCUGCAGUGAGGAAUAUUGGUCAAUGGACGCAAGUCUGAACCAGCCAUGCCGCGUGCAGGAAGACGGCUCUAUGAGUUGUAAACUGCUUUUGUACGAGGGUAAACGCAGAUACGCGUAUCUGUCUGAAAGUAUCGUACGAAUAAGGAUCGGCUAACUCCGUGCCAGCAGCCGCGGUAAUACGGAGGAUUCAAGCGUUAUCCGGAUUUAUUGGGUUUAAAGGGUGCGUAGGCGGUCGGAUAAGUUAGAGGUGAAAUCCCGAGGCUCAACUUCGGAAUUGCCUCUGAUACUGGUCGGCUAGAGAGUAGGCGUGGUAGGCGGAAUGUAUGGUGUAGCGGUGAAAUGCUUAGAGAUCACACAGAACACCGAUUGCGAAGGCAGCGUACCA
rnacentral:rRNA from 1 species